rnacentral:rRNA from 1 species
AUUGAACGCUAGCGGGAUGCCUUACACAUGCAAGUCGAACGGCAGCGCGGACUUCGGUCUGGCAGCGAGUGGCGAACGGGUGAGUAAUGUAUCGGAACGUGCCCAGUAGCGGGGGAUAACUACUCGCAAGAGUAGCUAAUACCGCAUACGCCCUACGGGGGAAAGGGGGGGAUCGCCAGACCCCCCACUAUUGGAGCGGCCGAUAUCGGAUUAGCUAGUUGGUGGGGUAAAGGCUCACCCAGGCGACGAUCCGUAGCUGGUUUGAGAGGACGACCAGCCACACUGGGACUGAGACACGGCCCAGACUCCUACGGGAGGCAGCAGUGGGGAAUUUUGGACAAUGGGGGCAACCCUGAUCCAGCCAUUCCGCGUGUGCGAUGAAGGCCUUCGGGUUGUAAAGCACUUUUGGCGGGAAAGAAAUCGCACGGAUUAAUACUCUGUGUGGAUGACGGUACCUGCAGAAUAAGCACCGGCUAACUACGUGCCAGCCGCCGCGGUAA